rnacentral:rRNA from 1 species
UACAGAGGGGGCAAGCGUUGUUCGGAAUUACUGGGCGUAAAGGGCGCGUAGGCGGCCUUCUAAGUCGAACGUGAAAUCCCUGGGCUCAACCCAGGAACUGCGUCCGAUACUGGAAGGCUUGAAUCCGGGAGAGGGAUGCGGAAUUCCAGGUGUAGCGGUGAAAUGCGUAGAUAUCUGGAGGAACACCGGUGGCGAAGGCGGCAUCCUGGACCGAGAUUGACGCUGAGGCGCGAAAGCCAGGGGAGCAAACGGG